AGAACGAACGCUGGCGGCAUGCCUAACACAUGCAAGUCGAACGAGACCUUCGGGUCUAGUGGCGCACGGGUGCGUAACGCGUGGGAAUCUGCCCUUAGGUUCGGAAUAACAGUUAGAAAUGACUGCUAAUACCGGAUAAUGUCUUCGGACCAAAGAUUUAUCGCCAAAGGAUGAGCCCGCGUAAGAUUAGCUAGUUGGUGGGGUAAAAGCCUACCAAGGCGACGAUCUUUAGCUGGUCUGAGAGGAUGAUCAGCCACACUGGGACUGAGACACGGCCCAGACUCCUACGGGAGGCAGCAGUGGGGAAUAUUGGACAAGUGGGCGAAAGCCUGAUCCAGCAAUGCCGCGUGAGUGAUGAAGGCUUAGGUUGUAAAGCUCUUUACCGGAUGAUAAUGACAGUACCGGAGAAUAACGCCCGGCUAACUCCGUGCCACGCAGCCGAC
rnacentral:rRNA from 1 species